rnacentral:tRNA from 1 species
CUUAUAUAUUAUAUAUAUAUUUUUCAUAUUAUAUUUCUGCAUUUCCUCCUAUCUUACUUUCUAUAGCCCAUCU